UAAGACGAACCGUGCGAACGUUAUUCGGAUUCACUGGGCUUAAAGGGCGCGUAGGCGGGCGACCAAGUCAAGGGUGAAAUCCCCCGGCCCAACCGGGGAACUGCCUCUGAUACUGGUCGUCUCGAGGGGGAUAGGGGCACGCGGAACUUCCGGUGGAGCGGUGAAAUGCGUAGAUAUCGGAAGGAACGCCGGUGGCGAAAGCGGCGUGCUGGAUCCCUUCUGACGCUGAGGCGCGAAAGCCAGGGGAGCAAACGGGAUUAGAUACCCCGGUAGUCCUGGCCCUAAACGAUGGGUACCAGACUGUGGGCCAGCAUGGGCUCACAGUCGAGGCAAAAGUGUUAAGUACCCCGCCUGGGGAGUAUGGUCGCAAGGCUG
rnacentral:rRNA from 1 species